UUCUUCUCACAUCAAUUAUAGCUCCUGCGGUGUUCAGAAAUGGCCUACCAAGAAUGAGAGGAUCUUGUGGUUCCUUGUCAAGCUCCAAGACAGUAAAAUCAGUUCGAAUGUAGAAAUUUCCCACUCGAACAUGCACGUCUUCCGCCAAACCCACCGGGUAUCGCACAGAGCGAUCGGCUAGAAUCAAAGAGAUCCUUGAUGGCUUGAAAUCGGUAAUGCCUAGACGCUUUGACACAGAAAAAGGCAUCAAGUUAACACCAGCUCCCAAAUCGCAAAGACACCUCUCAAAUAUGGACUUCCCAAUCCGGCAA
rnacentral:lncRNA from 1 species